CCUACGGGAGGCAGCAGUGAGGAAUAUUGGUCAAUGGGCGCGAGCCUGAACCAGCCAAGUAGCGUGCAGGAUGACUGCCCUACGGGUUGUAAACUUCUUUUAUACAGGAAUAACGCGAGCCACGUGUGCCUUUUUGCAUGUACUUUAUGAAUAAGGACCGGCUAAUUCCGUGCCAGCAGCCGCGGUAAUACGGAGGAUCCGAGCGUUAUCCGGAUUUAUUGGGUUUAAAGGGAGCGUAGGUGGGUUGUUAAGUCAGUUGUGAAAGUUUGCGGCUCAACCGUAAAAUUGCAAUUGAUACUGGCAGUCUUGAGUACAGGUGAGGCAGGCGGAAUUCGUGGUGUAGCGGUGAAAUGCUUAGAUAUCACGAAGAACUCCGAUUGCGAAGGCAGCUUGCUAAAGUGCCACUGACAUUGAUGCUCGAAAGUGUGGGUAUCAAACAGGAUUAGAUACCCUUGUAGUC
rnacentral:rRNA from 1 species